UACGUAGGCAGCGAACGUUAUUCGGAAUCACUGGGCUUAAAGGGCGCGUAGGCGGGCGGCCAAGUCAGAGGUGAAAGCCCCCAGCUCAACUGGGGAAGUGCCUUUGAUACUGGUCAUCUUGAGGGAGAUAGGGGCGUGCGGAACUUCCGGUGGAGCGGUGAAAUGCGUAGAUAUCGGAAGGAACACCGGUGGCGAAAGCGGCGCGCUGGACCAAUACUGACACUGAGGAGCGAAAGCCAGGGGAGCAAACGGG
rnacentral:rRNA from 1 species